UGCAGUCGAGCGGUAGCACAGAGAGCUUGCUCUCGGGUGACGAGCGGCGGACGGGUGAGUAAUGUCUGGGAAACUGCCUGAUGGAGGGGGAUAACUACUGGAAACGGUAGCUAAUACCGCAUAAUGUCGCAAGACCAAAGUGGGGGACCUUCGGGCCUCAUGCCAUCAGAUGUGCCCAGAUGGGAUUAGCUAGUAGGUGGGGUAACGGCUCACCUAGGCGACGAUCCCUAGCUGGUCUGAGAGGAUGACCAGCCACACUGGAACUGAGACACGGUCCAGACUCCUACGGGAGGCAGCAGUGGGGAAUAUUGCACAAUGGGCGCAAGCCUGAUGCAGCCAUGCCGCGUGUGUGAAGAAGGCCUUCGGGUUGUAAAGCACUUUCAGCGGGGAGGAAGGCGGUGAGGUUAAUAACCUUGUCGAUUGACGUUACCCGCAGAAGAAGCACCGGCUAACUCCGUGCCAGCAGCCGCGGUAAUACGGAGGGUGCAAGCGUUAAUCGGAAUUACUGGGCGUAAAGCGCACGCAGGCGGUCUGUCAAGUCGGAUGUGAAAUCCCCGGGCUCAACCUGGGAACUGCAUUCGAAACUGGCAGGCUAGAGUCUUGUAGAGGGGGGUAGAAUUCCAGGUGUAGCGGUGAAAUGCGUAGAGAUCUGGAGGAAUACCGGUGGCGAAGGCGGCCCCCUGGACAAAGACUGACGCUCAGGUGCGAAAGCGUGGGGAGCAAACAGGAUUAGAUACCCUGGUAGUCCACGCCGUAAACGAUGUCGAUUUGGAGGUUGUGCCCUUGAGGCGUGGCUUCCGGAGCUAACGCGUUAAAUCGACCGCCUGGGGAGUACGGCCGCAAGGUUAAAACUCAAAUGAAUUGACGGGGGCCCGCACAAGCGGUGGAGCAUGUGGUUUAAUUCGAUGCAACGCGAAGAACCUUACCUGGUCUUGACAUCCACAGAACUUUCCAGAGAUGGAUUGGUGCCUUCGGGAACUGUGAGACAGGUGCUGCAUGGCUGUCGUCAGCUCGUGUUGUGAAAUGUUGGGUUAAGUCCCGCAACGAGCGCAACCCUUAUCCUUUGUUGCCAGCGGUUCGGCCGGGAACUCAAAGGAGACUGCCAGUGAUAAACUGGAGGAAGGUGGGGAUGACGUCAAGUCAUCAUGGCCCUUACGACCAGGGCUACACACGUGCUACAAUGGCAUAUACAAAGAGAAGCGACCUCGCGAGAGCAAGCGGACCUCAUAAAGUAUGUCGUAGUCCGGAUUGGAGUCUGCAACUCGACUCCAUGAAGUCGGAAUCGCUAGUAAUCGUAGAUCAGAAUGCUACGGUGAAUACGUUCCCGGGCCUUGUACACACCGCCCGUCACACCAUGGGAGUGGGUUGCAAAAGAAGUAGGUAGCUUAACCUUCGGGAGGGCGCUACCA
rnacentral:rRNA from 1 species